GAAGGCGACAGUACAGUCGUACACCCUUAGAAAUGACUUCCUGCAUCUCACUCCUUGGAUAGUAUGUUCCGUCAUCGUAUCGGAAUCUGUACAGCAUGUGUUCAGGUUUGAACUGGUGCUUAUCAGUAACAUGGUGGAUAAUGCCAUUCUCUAAUAAAGCUUGGCCAAGAUGAACACCUUCUUCAGAUCUGUGUAUCUCUCCAAUUUCUAGCAACCAGGACACAAAUUCACUUCCAAGAAAGCAUUUGGGGAACGUGGUUAAUUUCCUCUUCCUGUCUUUGAUGAGACUGCCUUGCUUGCACAUCAUUUUGUAUAGUCUUUCUCCUUGCUCAGAAAUCAUCACCCAAGUGUCUUGUUCCAUGCCCAAUUUCAAACCUUUUCGUCUCUCUCGCUCUUUCAAAAUAGCUUCCAGCCAUUCUUGCUUCUCUUCGGGAGUUUUUGCCAUGCAUACAAACCAUUUGUUCUUUGCUGUGUUGUGGAUCUUCCAGCCAUUAAUGACAGUGUGGCCACUACUGUGGUAGUCCGCUGUUCCAUCAUCUACAUUUUCUACUUCCAUCACUUCUGUGUUUAUUCUGCCCCGAAAAAGGUAACGAUGGCCAUCUGUAGAUGCUUUGCUGUUCUUCAAUCGCCUGAUCAAAGAGGAGCAGAUAAGCAGUCACCUAUAAUCUUGCGCUUUGUAUCCGCAAUGCUACUUGUACAUGUAGCAUUUAAAGACAACUGAAAGCGUCACAGCCCACUUAUACCUGUGCAACUGAACUGUGGAAACCAUUC
rnacentral:lncRNA from 1 species